rnacentral:rRNA from 1 species
AAUCAAAACUUUCAACAACGGAUCUCUUGGUUCUGGCAUCGAUGAAGAACGCAGCGAAAUGCGAUAAGUAAUGUGAAUUGCAGAAUUCAGUGAAUCAUCGAAUCUUUGAACGCACAUUGCGCCCGCCAGUAUUCUGGCGGGCAUGCCUGUCCGAGCG